UGCCUUUGUCUGCGCUUCUGCAUGUCGCUCCCAUGCUAAACGUCUCCUGCAGUCCUAUUACUUAAGCUGUUUUAAAAUGAAGGCCACUUUUCUCCAUAUUUCUUUGUUGCUGCUUAGAUAUGUCUAAACUGUCUAUCAGACGUAUCCUGAAUGUCAGGAUGCUAGCUCUUUUUCUGUAUAGGUUUGCUUGAAUUCCCAUCUCCUUCUAUCAUAAGAAGAUAGUUUGUAGAACUAUCUUUUAGUGUUCUUGAAAGGGAAGCAGGAAUGCAGAUGUCUGCAUGUGGCUUUUCCAUUCCCCUUACCCAUUUCAGAUCUAUAUUGGUUGAACUGACAGCUGAGACCUAACAAAUGUUCCUCUGCUGUCUUUUACCUCACACUAUGGAGAGUUAGCUCAUUUUCAUCCACAAAAGGUCAAGGGGCCUGAAUGUGUCAUGGUUGUUUUCCUUUCCUUGACAAAUUGAGAGCUGAAACUUUUUGCAGAAGGCUAUGAUUUUGUCAUAUAUAUUGAAAGCCUGCAGCCCUAAUCUGGAGUCGAUAAAUCACAAGAAAAUAUCAGAAAAAUGUGAAGAUAUCACUGAUUUUACUGCUGAAMUAUUUCUCUGGACAUGCACACCACACUCCAUGCUGAAGGGCAUUUUCUAACCUGGCAAGUCUUUCUGGUGAAUGCUAAAACACUCCUAACAGAUAUCUACAUAAAAGCAUCUACUUUUAU